rnacentral:lncRNA from 1 species
GAAAAAUAGGCGGAAAACCGAAAAAUGAGUCGGAUAAUAAGGACAUAGCCGAAACCACAGAAUGCGGGUGAGAACAUUCCUCCUCAUUUUAGGAUUUACUCUUGAACUUUCUUUGAGCUUUCAAGUCCACCACAAUCACAGAUAUGUUGUCCCUGCUUCCCUUUUGGAGGGCAAGCGUUGAAAGGUAGGCAGCCGCUUCCUGAGCUGCUGGAUCAACUCCUGCACCCCUCUCUGCAAGAGCUGUAACUCCGUUCUUUUUGUGCCAGAG